GUUACCGUAGCAACGGUUUGUUGACAGUCGAUUUAGUAUAGCAAAAUGAGGCUCAAGCGAUUUCUUCUGAGAUAUUACCCACCAGGUAUCAUCCUGGAAUAUGAUAAAGGAGGCCUUUUGAGGACCAAAUCAAUCGACCUUUUGGAUUUGACAGUAGAAACCAACCCAGAUGAGUUAUUGAAAGAUAUCAUGCAAUCUGAGCCUCUCAUUACAGAAUCCCGAGCUGAGCAAGUAAAAAAGCUUAUCAUUCGCCUCCAACAGAAACAGAGCCAAAAGGACCACGACAGGUUUGUUUUUUCCAAGGAGCUGAAGGCACACAUACUUCCUCUGACUAAUGUUGCAUUUGACAAAUCAGGGUCAAGGUUUCUAACUGGGAGCUACGACAGAACAUGUCGUAUUUGGGACACCGCCUCAGGCACAGAACUGCACACACUUGAGGGUCACAGAAAUGUGGUGUAUGCGAUUGCAUUCAACAACCCCUUUGGAGACAAGAUUGCCACUGGUUCUUUUGAUAAGACCUGUAAACUGUGGUGUGCUGAGACGGGCAAAUGCUUCCACACAUUUCGAGGGCAUAUGUCUGAAAUAGUGUGUCUGGCAUUCAACCCUCAGAGUACACUUGUGGCCACAGGCAGCAUGGAUGCCACCGCCAAGCUGUGGGAAGUGAAGAGUGGGUGGGAGGUGGCCACUCUCAGUGGUCAUACUGCAGAGGUCCUCUCCUUGUGCUUCAAUUCAAUUGGCAAUCAGCUUGUCACUGGCUCCUUUGACCACACCGUUAUUAUUUGGGAUGUUGCUUCAGGAAGACGUGUCUACACAUUGAUGGGCCACAAGGCAGAGAUCAGCAAUGUUCAAUUCAAUUGGGAUUGCUCACUUAUAGUCACAGCCUCCAUGGAUAAAACUGGCAAGGUGUGGGAUGCCGCCAGUGGUAAUUGUUUGGCAACUCUGGUUGGACACAAAGAGGAGGUGCUGGAUGUGUGUUUUGAUUCACGGGGUCAACUUAUUGCUACAGCCUCUGCAGAUGGCACAGCCAAAGUGUUCAGUGCAUCCACACACCAGUGUUUGACAACAUUUGAAGGCCAUACCGGAGAGAUCUCCAAGCUCUCUUUGUUAGAUAUGCUUCAGUCCUCAAGGCAGCAGGGUUUUAACUGCUAGCUCAGACAAGACCGCUCGUCUGUGGGAUGUUCAGUCCGGAGUCUGCCUCCAGGUCCUGGAGGGCCACACUGACGAGAUAUUCUCCUGCGCCUUUAAUUACGAAGGCGACACUGUCAUCACAGGCAGCAAGGAUAACACGUGCCGUAUCUGGUGCUGACCCUUCCGGGAGCCAAUAGAUGUCCACAUGUCACUAUCACACACCACAUGGGGUUGGUGUUAUCCAUUUAUGCUGCCGUAGAUGGCUUCAUUUGAAGAUGAGGAGCUUGGUGACAUGCAUUGUUGACAGUAUCUGUGUGACAUUGAACCAUUAAUGCAAAUGAUUGCUACUUAUUUUUAGCCUUGUGAUCUUCAGUUUCAAAUUCUUGAUGUAAACACACAGCAUGUUCUCUUGAGAUUUAUAUUCCUAUAAAAUCAAAGAAGGAUAUUCCCUAUACUUGUGCUUAAGGUCAUCUGGUUGUUUUCUUCCUUACUAUGCUAAAGCCAACAAAGCCUAACCUCUAUAUCUUCAAUAUGGGAAAAGGACCAUUUCAAUUUCUAACCUUGGUUGAGCGUUAUCCGUGUACCUAUAGCAGAGUUUAUGAUUGUUAUGAUUGUUUUGUGUUGUCUAGAGUACAGUUGCAAGCUUAAAUUUCCCAUCUUUUUUAUUGCUGAUGUUCCACUACUUUACCAUGCUAUUGAUGUCUUAAUAUUGGAGUGCUGUCGUUAGAACAAGGGAUUCAUUGUGUAUAUACAGUAGAGUGUGUACCAUUUUUGACUGCUUUCCUGAAAUGCUACAAACAUGUUAAGAAUGGUAGCAUUGCUCAGUGAAUAUCUGCUUCUUGUACAAACUCAAUUAAUGCUUCCAUAUCCUUCAACCAAAUAUUUCUGGAAACAAAAACCAGGUGAUCAAGCCAACAUCAUGCAAAGAUUUCAACUUAGCUGGCACCUCAGAUUUAAUCACCAUAAUACCAUACUUAUUUGUUGUGUUUUUACCACAUUAAGGUUCAAGUUAUGGAUGGCUAAGGGAAAGACAUGAUGAAAGAGAAAAUAGUACAGCCAAGGAAUGAUAUACAUACAGAGAUGCCGCCAUUUAAUGAGCUGUUCAAGCUCAGCGGUCGGUACGCUCAACUCCUGAGACGUGAUUUGGUGGGCGACUCACCUUCGAUCCCCGGGUGGAAUGAGAACAUAAGAAGCAGAAUGUCGUCGCCGCCAGAGCUGUUACACUGUAAAAACACAUCAUCUUAAAACUAAAUUCCCUUGUUUUCAGUGUAAAUCUACAAGAAAUAAGCAAUUUUUUUUUCAGUGCUUCAGUUAAAUUUUACAACUCCUAGCAAAAAGUAUGGAAUCAACAGUCUCAGACAAGCACUCACUCAGACAUUUUAUCAUGUAGAACAAACUCAGAUAAAAAAAAAAACUUGAAAAAAAUAAUGAAUUACUUCAAAGUGCAACUCUUUAGCAUUUA